CCUACGGGUGGCAGCAGUGGGGAAUAUUGCACAAUGGGGGGAACCCUGAUGCAGCGACGCCGCGUGGGUGAAGAAGCGCCUCGGCGCGUAAAGCCCUGUCAGCAGGGAAGAAAAUGACGGUACCUGACGAAGACGCCCCGGCUAACUACGUGCCAGCAGCCGCGGUAAUACGUAGGGGGCAAGCGUUAUCCGGAUUUACUGGGUGUAAAGGGGGCGCAGACGGCGGUGCAAGCCAGGAGUGAAAGCCCGGGGCCCAACCCCGGGACUGCGCUUGGAACUGCGUGGCUGGAGUGCAGGAGGGGCAGGCGGAAUUCCUGGUGUAGCGGUGAAAUGCGUAGAUAUCAGGAGGAACACCAGUGGCGAAGGCGGCCUGCUGGACUGUAACUGACGUUGAGGCCCGAAAGCGUGGGGAGCAAACAGGAUUAGAUACCCGAGUAGUC
rnacentral:rRNA from 1 species